rnacentral:lncRNA from 1 species
AAUCACCCAAAUCCCCCCAACCAAAUUCUCCCAAAUUUCAAACCGCCCCAAACAACAUUCUUCAAUUUGAAGACAAAAUUGUCAAUUUUUUUACUGUAGUCUUUUUUAAAACUAUCGAAUUAAGACAAAACUGUCGAUUCUUUUUUCUUUAACUUUUGAACUAUUUCGAAAUAUGAAUAAAAAAUUGGCAAUUUUUUAUGUAAAUUAUGAAUUGUUUGAAUUUGAAAACAAAACUUUCAAAUUUUUAACUGUAAGUUCUGACAAAUCCAAAUUAUGAGGACAAAACCAUCAAUUUUUUUUUUGCUGUAAACUUUGAAUAAAUCCGAUUUGUCAAAUUGUCGGUGUAAAUUUCCAAGAAAUAUUCGAAUUGAAGUCAAGUUAUUUUUUUGGUUUCAAAUUGUUUUUGCAGGGAUUGUGAGGGGGAGGCCGGUGCCGAUCCCGGGGUCGGGGAUGCAGGUGACGAACAUAUCGCACGUGCGCGACCUGGCGAGCAUGGUGGCGCUCGCCGUGGAGAGCCCCGGCGCGGCGGCGGGGAGGAUCUUCAACUGCGUCUCCGACCGCGCCGUCACCUUCAACGGCCUCGUCAAGAUGUGCGCCGCCGCCGCCGGCGCCCAGCCGGAGAUCCUCCACUACGACCCC